rnacentral:rRNA from 1 species
UACGUAGGUGACAAGCGUUGUCCGGAUUUACUGGGCGUAAAGAGCGCGCAGGCGGUCGUUCAAGUCGAGUGUGAAAGCCCCCGGCUCAACUGGGGAGGGUCACUCGAUACUGAUCGACUCGAAGGCAGGAGAGGGUAGUGGAAUUCCCGGUGUAGUGGUGAAAUGCGUAGAUAUCGGGAGGAACACCUGUGGCGAAGGCGGCCCCCUGGUUGGAUACUGACGCUGAGACGCGAAAGCGUGGGGAGCAAACAGG